UAAGUCCUUCGGGGUCGGGUGAAAUUCCCAACCGGCGGUGAUGAGGCUUUAGCCUCUUAGUCCGUGACCCGGUUUUGCAUAUAGCAGAAACGGUGGAUUCGGUGCAAUUCCGAAGCCGACAGUAUAGUCUGGAUGGGAGAAGGAACGU
rnacentral:ncRNA from 1 species